rnacentral:rRNA from 1 species
CCUACGGGUGGCAGCAGUGAGGAAUAUUGGUCAAUGGCCGAGAGGCUGAACCAGCCAAGUCGCGUGAGGGAUGACGGCCCUACGGGUUGUAAACUUCUUUUGUCGGGGAGUAAAGAGAGUCACGUGUGGCUUUUUGCGUGUACCUUAAGAAUAAGCAUCGGCUAACUCCGUGCCAGCAGCCGCGGUAAUAGGGGGGAUGGGAGCGUUAUCCGGUUUGAUGGGGGUUAAAGGGUACGAAGGGGGGGGUGUAGGUCAGUGGUAAAGUUGCGGGGCUAAACCCCGUACUGCCAGUGAUACUGCAUGCCUUGAGUGCGCGAGAGGUAUGCGGAAUGCGUGGUGUAGCGGUGAAAUGCGUAGAUAUCACGAAGAACUCCGAUGGCGAAGGCAGCUUACCGGCGUGCAACUGACGCUGAUGCACGAAAGCGUGGGUAUCAAACAGGAUUAGAUACCCCAGUAGUC